CUAGGAGAACCGAAAACAGUUCUAGACAGACCUGGGGUUUUAUAGCAGUGUUGGCAGUCAACUUCAGCUUGUGCCUGAGCAGACCGGCUGCGGUGGCCCGCCAGCGGGGGACGCCAGGCUAUCAACCCUGGCUGCAAGCCCCUCUCCCAAUUAGAUCAGUUUUCCCCUUGAUGCCAGGGAGGGCGGGGAGGGGGGGGGUCAUCGCAGAAAAG
ensembl:misc_RNA